UAUAGAUCAAGUGUAGUACUGAGGAAUUUGAAUCCCAAUCAGAACACAGGCUCAUGAGUCAGCUAUCACUGGAAUGAAAUGGGAUCCUACAGGUCAUAUGUUGUUGACCUGUGCUAGAGGAGACUCACAUGUCAAAGUGUGGACACCUGGUCGUGAAGGUCUUAUUCUGUUGCAUACACUAUACCACACUGCAGCUGUCACUGUAGUAGAAUGGUGUACUUUACUUGGCAAGGGUGAAGCUAAAUCACUUAUGUUAGCAAGUGGUUGUGACAAUGGGAUGGUGUAUGUUGAAAGUGUACCACAAAUCACAACCAAUGAGAACCAGUUAACCCCUACAAGCUCAGCCUCUUUCACUAGUCAGG